rnacentral:rRNA from 1 species
AUGCACGCAGCUCGACCGACCGGUCCAUUUCGGCGCACCGCCACAGCACCCACAACGGCGGCCCUAUUUCCGGCUAUAUAUACUCGCGCUCACACAUCGGUCAUGCGUACUCGACCCUGCCUGCAGUCCCAUACUCCAUACACCACCACCUUCCUCCCAAGCGAACAAAGACUCAUGGCGACUCUGCGGCGGUGCUCCGGGCUGCUGGUCGCGGUGGUGGCGCUGGCGCUGGCGGCGGGCAUGGCGGCGGCGCAGGGGCCGGCCGGCGCGCCGGCGCCGGCUGCCGGGAUCAGCUCCGAGUGCAUGACCGCGGUGCUCAACAUGUCCGACUGCCUGCCGUACGUGGAGAGCGGGAGCAAGACGCGGCACCCGGACAAGGCCUGCUGCCCGGAGCUGGACGGCCUGCUGCAGUCCAACCCCGUCUGCCUCUGCCAGCUGCUCGCCGGCGGCGCCGACUCCUACGGCAUCAGCGUCGACUACAAGCGCGCCAUGGCGCUGCCCGGCGUCUGCCGCCUCAACGCGCCGCCGCUCAGCGCCUGCGCAGCUUUUGGAGUCCCCGUGGGGCCUUCUUCGGCGCCAUUAACAGGAGUCUCUCCAUCCGCUACAGGGCCACAGAUGCCUGAGAACCCGCCAUCCGGAACGCCGUCCAAGUCCAAGUCCCACGCCCCCGGCAGCCUCACCGGCCGCGGUCUCGUCGCCCUCGCCGCCCUACCGCUGGCGUUCACGGCCGCCGCCAUGUUCUAG